UCAGGACGAACGCUGGCGGCGUGCCUAACACAUGCAAGUCGAACGAAGCUCUGCGAUACAAGACUUCGGUCAAGUUGAACGGAUGACUUAGUGGCGGACGGGUGAGUAACACGUGGGUAACCUGCCUUACAGAGGGGGAUAACAGUUUGAAAAGACUGCUAAUACCGCAUAAGCACACAGUACCGCAUGGUACGGGGUGAAAAGAUUUAUCGCUGUAAGAUGGACCCGCGUCUGAUUAGCUAGUUGGCAGGGUAACGGCCUACCAAGGCGACGAUCAGUAGCCGACCUGAGAGGGUGAUCGGCCACAUUGGGACUGAGACACGGCCCAAACUCCUACGGGAGGCAGCAGUGGGGAAUAUUGCACAAUGGGGGAAACCCUGAUGCAGCGACGCCGCGUGGAGGAAGAAGGUCUUCGGAUUGUAAACUCCUGUUGUCGGGGACGAUAAUGACGGUACCCGACAAGAAAGUGACGGCUAACUACGUG
rnacentral:rRNA from 1 species